UUCAGCUUACACCUGAAAAAUGUCUGCUAACACCAGAUCGUCUUGAUGCCAAACUCUAGCCCAAUCGACACGACCCAGAAUAACAAAGCCACUCCCCACACCCAACUAAAGCAUUCACUAGUCCCAGUAUAGGCGAUAGAAAAGACACCAUUGGCGCGAUAGAGACCACGUACCGUAAGGGAAAGAUGAAAUAACAAUGAAAACUAAGCUAUAAACAGCAAAGAUCAACCCUUGUACCUUUUGCAUCAUGGUCUAGCAAGAAAAACCAAGCAAAAUGAAUUUAAGUUUGCCACCCCGAAACCCAAGCGAGCUACUUACGAGCAGCUAUUAUUGAGCGAACCCGUCUCUGUGGCAAAAGAGUGGGAUGACUCGUCAGUAGAGGUGAAAAGCCAAUCGAGCUGGGUGAUAGCUGGUUGCCUGUGAAACGAAUCUAAGUUCACUCUUAAUUCUUCUCCAAGGAAAUCCUACAAACCCUAAUGAAGCGAAUUAAGGGCUAUUUAAAGGAGGUACAGCUCCUUUAAAAAAGAAUACAAUCUCCCCGAGCGGAUAAAUACUAAACCCCUACAACUGAACUGUGGGCCCUCAAGCAGCCAUCAACAAAGAGUGCGUUAAAGCUCUACACCCCAAAAAAUAUAAAAACCCUAUGACUCCCUCCUCACUAACAGGCCAACCUAUAUUCAAAUAGGAGAAUUAAUGCUAGAAUGAGUAACCAGGGUCCUCCCUCUACGACGCAAGCUUACAUCCAUACAUUAUUAACAAACAACCAAUAUACGACAAAUUAAACAAGCACAGUAUUAAGCAUCUUGUUAACCCGACAGAGGAGCGUCCACUAAGAAAGAUAAAC
rnacentral:rRNA from 1 species